rnacentral:rRNA from 1 species
CUACGGACGGUGCGAGCGUUAAUCGGAAUUACUGGGCGUAAAGCGUACGUAGGCGGUUGGUUAAGUUAGAUGUGAAAGCCCCGGGCUUAACCUGGGAACUGCAUUUAAAACUGGCGAACUAGAGUUGAGUAGAGGGGAGUGGAAUUUCAGGUGUAGCGGUGAAAUGCGUAGAGAUCUGAAGGAACACCAGUGGCGAAGGCGACUCCCUGGACUCGAACUGACGCUGAGGUACGAAAGCGUGGGUAGCAAACGGGAUUAGAAACCCUAGUAGUCC